CCUACGGGCGGCAGCAGUGAGGAAUAUUGGUCAAUGGGCGAGAGCCUGAACCAGCCAAGUCGCGUGAAGGAUGACGGCCCUACGGGUUGUAAACUUCUUUUGUCAGGGAGCAAUUGGGUCCACGCGUGGGCUUAGCGAGAGUACCUGAAGAAAAAGCAUCGGCUAACUCCGUGCCAGCAGCCGCGUUAAUACGGAGUAUGCGAGCGUUAUCCGGAUUUAUUGGGUUUAAAGGGUGCGUAGGCGGAAUAUCAAGUCAGCGGUAAAAUUUCGGGGCUCAACCCCGUCGUGCCGUUGAAACUGAUGUUCUUGAGUGGGCGAGAAGUAUGCGGAAUGCGUGGUGUAGCGGUGAAAUGCAUAGAUAUCACGCAGAACUCCGAUUGCGAAGGCAGCAUACCGGCGCCCAACUGACGCUGAAGCACGAAAGCGUGGGUAUCGAACAGGAUUAGAUACCCUAGUAGUC
rnacentral:rRNA from 1 species